rnacentral:rRNA from 1 species
UGCAGUCGAGCGGUAAGGCCCUUUCGGGGGUACACGAGCGGCGAACGGGUGAGUAACACGUGGGUGACCUGCCCUCAGCUCUGGGAUAAGCCCGGGAAACUGGGUCUAAUACCGGAUAUGACUCCAUGACGCAUGUUGUGGGGUGGAAAGCCUUGUGCGGCUGAGGAUGGGCCCGCGGCCUAUCAGCUUGUUGGUGGGGUGAUGGCCUACCAAGGCGACGACGGGUAGCCGGCCUGAGAGGGCGACCGGCCACACUGGGACUGAGACACGGCCCAGACUCCUACGGGAGACAGCAGUGGGGAAUCUUGCGCAAUGGGCGAAAGCCUGACGCAGCGACGCCGCGUGAGGGAUGACGGCCUUCGGGUUGUAAACCUCUUUCAGCUCCGACGAAGCGGAAGUGACGGUAGGAGCAGAAGAAGCACCGGCCAACUACGUGCCAGCAGCCGCGGUAAUACGUAGGGUGCAAGCGUUGUCCGGAAUUAUUGGGCGUAAAGAGCUCGUAGGCGGUCUGUCGCGUCGGCUGUGAAAACUCGGGGCUCAACUCCGAGCUUGCAGUCGAUACGGGCAGGCUAGAGUUCGGCAGGGGAGACUGGAAUUCCUGGUGUAGCGGUGAAAUGCGCAGAUAUCAGGAGGAACACCGGUGGCGAAGGCGGGUCUCUGGGCCGAUACUGACGCUGAGGAGCGAAAGCGUGGGGAGCGAACAGGAUUAGAUACCCUGGUAGUCCACGCCGUAAACGUUGGGCGCUAGGUGUGGGAUCCCUUCCACGGGUUCCGUGCCGCAGCUAACGCAUUAAGCGCCCCGCCUGGGGAGUACGGCCGCAAGGCUA